rnacentral:rRNA from 1 species
UACGUAGGGGGCUAGCGUUGUCCGGAUUUACUGGGCGUAAAGGGCGUGCAGGCGGUUUGUUAAGUUCAGGGUGAAAGCUCCCGGCUCAACUGGGAGAGGUCCGUUGGAUACUGGCAGACUUGAGGAGGGUAGAGGAGAGUGGAAUUCCCGGGUGUAGUGGUCGAUAUGCGUAGAUAUCGGGAGGAACACCAGUGGCGAAGG